rnacentral:rRNA from 1 species
GAUGAACGCUAGCUACAGGCUUAACACAUGCAAGUCGAGGGGCAGCAUGGUCUUAGCUUGCUAAGGCCGAUGGCGACCGGCGCACGGGUGAGUAACACGUAUCCAACCUGCCGUCUACUCUUGGACAGCCUUCUGAAAGGAAGAUUAAUACAAGAUGGCAUCAUGAGUCCACAUGUUCACAUGAUUAAAGGUAUUCCGGUAGACGAUGGGGAUGCGUUCCAUUAGAUAGUAGGUGGGGUAACGGCCCACCUAGUCUUCGAUGGAUAGGGGUUCUGAGAGGAAGGUCCCCCACAUUGGAACUGAGACACGGUCCAAACUCCUACGGGAGGCAGCAGUGAGGAAUAUUGGUCAAUGGGCGAGAGCCUGAACCAGCCAAGUAGCGUGAAGGAUGACUGCCCUAUGGGUUGUAAACUUCUUUUAUAAAGGAAUAAAGUCGGGUAUGGAUACCCGUUUGCAUGUACUUUAUGAAUAAGGAUCGGCUAACUCCGUGCCAGCAGCCGCGGUAAUACGGAGGAUCCGAGCGUUAUCCGGAUUUAUUGGGUUUAAAGGGAGCGUAGAUGGAUGUUUAAGUCAGUUGUGAAAGUUUGCGGCUCAACCGUAAAAUUGCAGUUGAUACUGGAUAUCUUGAGUGCAGUUGAGGCAGGCGGAAUUCGUGGUGUAGCGGUGAAAUGCUUAGAUAUCACGAAGAACUCCGAUUGCGAAGGCAGCCUGCUAAGCUGCAACUGACAUUGAGGCUCGAAAGUGUGGGUAUCAAACAGGAUUAGAUACCCUGGUAGUCCACACGGUAAACGAUGAAUACUCGCUGUUUGCGAUAUACAGCAAGCGGCCAAGCGAAAGCGUUAAGUAUUCCACCUGGGGAGUACGCCGGCAACGGUGAAACUCAAAGGAAUUGACGGGGGCCCGCACAAGCGGAGGAACAUGUGGUUUAAUUCGAUGAUACGCGAGGAACCUUACCCGGGCUUAAAUUGCAGAUGAAUUACGGUGAAAGCCGUAAGCCGCAAGGCAUCUGUGAAGGUGCUGCAUGGUUGUCGUCAGCUCGUGCCGUGAGGUGUCGGCUUAAGUGCCAUAACGAGCGCAACCCUUGUUGUCAGUUACUAACAGGUUCCGCUGAGGACUCUGACAAGACUGCCAUCGUAAGAUGUGAGGAAGGUGGGGAUGACGUCAAAUCAGCACGGCCCUUACGUCCGGGGCUACACACGUGUUACAAUGGGGGGUACAGAGGGCCGCUACCACGCGAGUGGAUGCCAAUCCCAAAAACCUCUCUCAGUUCGGACUGGAGUCUGCAACCCGACUCCACGAAGCUGGAUUCGCUAGUAAUCGCGCAUCAGCCACGGCGCGGUGAAUACGUUCCCGGGCCU